AAUGCACCUGCACCGGCAGUGCCGGGCCGGCGGGAGGGGGGAGAGGGGGGUGGCGACAGCGACGCCCGGGGACACACCUGCGGGGCCGCCAGUGCGUCGCCGGACCCCGUCCCUUCUAACCUGGUGACGUCAGCGACGAGCCACCUGCAAAUCCCCUAGAGCCCGGCCCCGCGGCCGGGGAAGCCACGGCGGGGACACCGACCACCGCGUCCCGUGUGGCCUAACCCACCCAAAGGUGAACCCGCGGGGACUCGCCAACCUGCCGCUUCUACUGUAACUACCCGGAAGAAGCUGGACUCAACCUCUCCACCUGUCAGCCGAGCGCCCUCCCGCGGCGGGAUUUCCAGUUCUCGCGAGAACUUUUGAGCUUCUCCUGUAUGCGCAUGCGUCAAACUUGGAAGCCUACCGAGCUGGCCCCCAGCCAAGGGAGUGGAAAAAAGGCGGAAGCCAUCAGGAAGGAGGGGGAGGAGCUGGGGCGGGGCCUACGCCCUCUCUCCCUCCCAGCCCCGCCCCUCUCGGCGCGCCCCGGAAUGGCGUCAUCCGCUGUAUAAGAGCGCGUGCGCAGAAGCGUGCGGCCUUUCACGUCUGGGCAGCGUCGCUUGCAGGUCGGUCUGCGGUCGUGAUUUGUGCGCUAAAGCGAUGAUUAUUAGGACGGAACCUUUUGGCCUAGUCAGAAUGCAGCCGGUUCGAGGGUCUUGCGGCGGCAGGUCGAGGUCGGCUUCGGCAGCCUGCGGGCUGGGAGGCCUGGGCGGACUCCGUGUUCCUUAGGUCGCGCGGCCGCCACGUGCAACCCUGGGUGCUGAGUCCCAGGCGGCGCGCAUGCGCCCUGCGGCCGGGCGAGUCCAGGAAGGUCGGGUCCACUGUGGGUGCCCAGUGGCCGUCGUGAAUCCGCUUCCCCGCCACUAAGCGGGACGCCUGCAGACGGCGGGGAUCGAGAAAUCCCUGCCGUGGGUGAAGUUUCCUGGAGCUUCCUGCAGUGCACAGGACAAACGUGAUUUCCAAGUCAGCAGCUCCAGGGUUGAGUGGGAAAUGUGAUGGGAAAACAAUGUUCUGGAAACUACAGAGGAAGUAUCUUUAGCAUAGACCUGAAUGUUUUUUUUUAAGUAGCGAAUGAGUGUACACUUGUUAUAAUUAAAUAAAGCGCUUGGUUCAUCUGUA